rnacentral:rRNA from 1 species
UAUACAGCGAAACUGCGAAUGGCUCAUUAUAUAAGUUAUCGUUUAUUUGAUAGUGCCUUACUACUUGGAUAACCGUGGUAAUUCUAGAGCUAAUACAUGCUAAAAACCCCGACUUCGGAAGGGGUGUAUUUAUUAGAUACAAAACCAAUGCCCUUCGGGGCUCUUUGGUGAUUCAUGAUAACUAUACGAAUCGCACGGCCUUGCGCCGGCGAUGGUUCAUUCAAAUUUCUUCCCUAUCAACUUUCGAUGUUUGGGUAUUGGCCAAACAUGGUUGCAACGGGUAACGGAGGGUUAAGGCUCGACCCCGGAGAAGGAGCCUGAGAAACGGCUACUACAUCCAAGGAAGGCAGCAGGCGCGCAAAUUACCCAAUCCCGACUCGGGGAGGUAGUGACAAUAAAUACUGAUACAGGGCCCUUUCGGGCCUUGUAAUUGGAAUGAGUACAAUUUAAAUCCCUUAACGAGGAACAAUUGGAGGGCAAGACUGGUGCCAGCAGCCGCGGUAAUUCCAGCUCCAAUAGCGUAUAU